rnacentral:rRNA from 1 species
UACGUAGGGUGCAGGCGUUAAUCGGAAUUACUGGGCGUAAAGCGUGCGCAGGCGGUUAUGUAAGCCAGAUGUGAAAUGCCCGGGCUUAACCUGGGAACUGCAUUUGUGACUGCAUGGCUAGAGUUUGGCAGAGGGGGGUAGAAUUCCACGUGUAGCAGUGAAAUGCGUAGAUAUGUGGAGGAACACCGAUGGCGAAGGCAGCCCCCUGGGUCAAGACUGACGCUGAGGCGCGAAAGCUAGGGGAGCAAACAGG